rnacentral:rRNA from 1 species
GAUGAACGCUGGCGGCGUGCUUAACACAUGCAAGUCGAACGGUGAAGCAGGAGCUUGCUCUUGUGGAUCAGUGGCGAACGGGUGAGUAACACGUGAGCAGCCUGCCCCAGACUCUGGGAUAAGCGCUGGAAACGGCGUCUAAUACUGGAUAUGUGAUGUGACCGCAUGGUCUGCAUCUGGAAAGAAUUUCGGUUGGGGAUGGGCUCGCGGCCUAUCAGCUUGUUGGUGAGGUAAUGGCUCACCAAGGCGUCGACGGGUAGCCGGCCUGAGAGGGUGACCGGCCACACUGGGACUGAGACACGGCCCAGACUCCUACGGGAGGCAGCAGUGGGGAAUAUUGCACAAUGGGCGGAAGCCUGAUGCAGCAACGCCGCGUGAGGGAUGACGGCCUUCGGGUUGUAAACCUCUUUUAGCAGGGAAGAAGCGAAAGUGACGGUACCUGCAGAAAAAGCACCGGCUAACUACGUGCCAGCCGCCGCGGUAA